UAGAGCCAUUUUGGCAUUCUGUCCACCUCCAUUGCUAGCUCCAUAUCUUUCAAUGAGGAGGGGGCCAGAGUGCCAAACUAGCUCUGCA
rnacentral:pre_miRNA from 1 species